GUUAACAUCUGGCUCUACCUUUCUUUGACUUCAUCAAAAAAAAGUGUCACUAAUUUAAACGAACGCGCUAACGGAAUUAUGUCCGUUUCAUAUUCGUUGUAAACAGUAGCAUUGGAUGCGGACCGACGAACUAAGGUAUCUGCAUUGAUUGACAGGCAUGACAGACAUAAAGGACAAAGAGUACUCAUCACAGCCUGAUAAGAAAAAGAAAAAAAGUAUCGUAAUUAAAUGUAGAUGAGUGAGUCACAGUGGCUGAAUGUCUCCACACCUUGUCAAAGAGCGGGCCUGUGUGUCGGCACGCGGUGCCCAGCUGACCCCCCCCCCGAAAGACGAAAGCGGGGGCUCCUCGGUCUCUGGUUGAUAGAAGCUGAUGGACAGGUGCCCUCCCCCAUCGCCCCCCCCCCCCCGCACUGGGGUCAGUGGCUCGGCUCGUUUUAAUGACUCUAAUGGCGGCUGAUAAUGAGCACGUGAGCAUACCUGGGG